rnacentral:rRNA from 1 species
GAGUUUGAUCAUGGCUCAGAGCGAACGCUGGCGGCAGGCCUAACACAUGCAAGUCGAGCGGCCGUAGCAAUACGGCAGCGGCAGACGGGAGAGUAACACGUGGGAACGUGCCCUUUGGUUCGGAAUAACGCAGGGAAACUUGCGCUAAAUACCGGAUAAGCCCUUACGGGGAAAGAUUUAUCGCCAUUGGAGCGGCCCGCGUCUGGAUUAGCUAGUUGGUGAGGUAACGGCUCACCAAGGGCGACGAUCAGUAGCUGGUCUGAGAGGAUGAUCAGCCUCACUGGGACUGAGACACGGCCCAGACUCCUACGGGAGCAGCAGUGGGGAAUAUUGGACAAUGGGCGCAAGCCUGAUCCAGCCAUGCCGCGUGGAUGAUGAAGGCCUUAGGG